rnacentral:lncRNA from 1 species
GGCCAAUCAGGGGCCGCUGCAGAACGACCAAUCACAGACGCUGCAGGGUGGGGGCAGCCCCUCCCCAGGGGCCCCGGGGGCCCCCCGGCUCCGCCCCCCCCAAGGUAGGACCCCCGCGGCAUCAUGGGAUGGGGGCGGCCCCUCCACCUGCAGGUUUUUGGCGUGUCCUUGGCAUGUUCUUAGCGUGUUUUGGCGUGUGCAGGCCCUGUUCAUGGGGACGGUGGCCGCCACGGGGACGGUGGCCGCCCUGGGGCUCCUCGGGGCUUGGUGGUGCUGUUCACGGGGGUGGUGGCCGCCGCGGGGACGGUGGCCGCCCUGGGCCUCCUCGGCGGCUCGGUGGCCGCCUCCGUCUUCGACUGCACCCACCUGGUGACCGACCGGGUCCGGCGCACCGUCAAGUUCCUCUGCGCCCUGGCCCGCGGCGUCCCCAUCGUCACCCCCGAGUGGCUGCUCAAGAGCGCCCACAGCGGCUGCGCGCUGGCUCCGGGCGCCUUCCUGGUGCGGGACGCGGAGCAGGAGCGCGGCCUGGGCUUCAACCUCGCCACCGCCCUGCGGCGCGCCCGCCGCCGCGGCCUCCUCGAGGUACGUCCCCAACUGUCCCCAAAUGUCCCCAACUGUCCCCAAGCGUCCCCAACCAUCCCCAACCCUCCCUGACCAUCCGCAACCAUCUGCGACCUUCCAUGUGGCCUCCAGCCGCGUCCCCGUGGCGUCCUCGAGGCGUCGCUCGUCUCCGACGCGUCCCCGUGGUGGCCCCCGAGGUGGCUCUUGUCCUUGAGGUGUCCUCGUGGUGUCCCCAAGGUGUUCCCCCGUCCCUACGUCGUCCCCGUGGUGGCCCUGAGGCGUUGGCUGUCGCCCCAGAGCGUCUCCGUGGUGUCCCCGAGGUGUUUCCUAUCUCCGUGGUGUCCCCGAGGUGGUCCCCAUCUCUGAGACGUCCCCAAGGUGUCCCCGUGGUGGCCCCAAGGCGUUCCCCGUCCCUACGGUGUCCCCGUGGUGGCCCUGAGGCAUUGGCCAUCGCCGAUGUGUCCCCAAAGCGUUUCCACGGCAUCUCCAGGGUGUCCCCAAGGCGUCCCCAAGUGUUCUCCAUCCCUGAGGUGGCCCUGUGGUGGCCCCGUGGUGGCCCCAAGCUGUUCCUCGUCCCUGAGGUGUCCUUGAGGCAUCACUUGUCACCGAUGUGUCCCUAAAGUAUCUCCACGGCAU